rnacentral:ncRNA from 1 species
GAAUAGCUGCCACCGGGUAGCGAUGCUUUGAGGCAUCCGUGUGCGUAUCGUUAGGUCUUUGAAGAUACGCAUGGCGGGUGCCUUUCUUAU